AUGCCUUAAACAUAUGAGUAAGGAAAAUAACAAUCCGGGGUGACACCCAGGUCCUCACUGUUAAUGUAAGAGGAAUUUUUAAACAGGUACAGGUCAUCCCUAUGGUGACCCGCCUACCUUAAUGGGAUGCCUGUGUGUUUCGAUCUGCCCA